UACGUAGGGGGCAAGCGUUGUCCGGAUUCAUUGGGCGUAAAGAGCGUGUAGGCGGUCCGGUAAGUCCGCUGUGAAAGUCGGGGGCUCAACCCUCGAAUGCCGGUGGAUACUGUCGGGCUAGAGUGCGGAAGAGGCGAGUGGAAUUCCUGGUGUAGCGGUGAAAUGCGCAGAUAUCAGGAGGAACACCAACGGCGAAGGCAGCUCUCUGGGACGUUACUGACGCUGAGACGCGAAAGCGUGGGGAGCAAACAGG
rnacentral:rRNA from 1 species